GACUUUCAGCCACAAGACUAUCAACAGUGGUUCCAGGUUUAUUUGGUUCCUGUGAUGGCGAGCAUCCUUCCUAGCAGCUUGCGGGUGAUCCCCAGUAACAUCACCUGUGAAUCCUACCAGGCUGUAUACAAUGGUCUUGAGCAGAGUUUGGAAGCAUUGCCACUGGACCUUUCACAGGGCGUGAGAUCAAGCGAGCAGUACCUCCAGGACACAUUCCCACGUUGCUCAGUUCCAGCUUCCUUUGUGUGCAAGGUGACCC